AGAAGAUAAAGGCUGAUAGUAUGAAUAUUAUGAGUCCAGGGAUGAAAACCGCAGUUACCGGCCGGAAGAUCACCGGCGAAGGCGAACGCGGGGAGAGCUAUCAAAUGGCCUUCCAGCGUUUGGCUCGGGGUUUAGCGAUGACCGCAAAUUCAAUUACUCGGCGCGACGAAUUUGGUUACUUCGGCCCGCUUGUUUCGGCCUCUUUUUAUUUUGAUGAUCUGGAUUCGUUUGUUAUAACCUGGAUCCAUGACUAAGCUAUCACCUGGAACUCUUACAUCACAGCCGUACAUCCAUGACAUUCGUUGUAAUCAACGGCUGUCUCUUUUUCCUUUUGUUUUGUUUAAAUUAGGGUUUGUUUUGCAAUGGCACCUUUUUGAGAUGAAGAGGAAUUCUUGGAGAAUUUUAACUGUUUACAUGUUGUAGGUAAUUACUGAUUAAUAUUUGAUGUUUAGUUUUUCUAAA